rnacentral:rRNA from 1 species
GCCAGACUCCUACGGGAGGCAGCAGUAGGGAAUAUUGCACAAUGGGGGGAACCCUGAUGCAGCGACGCCGCGUGGGUGAAGGAGCGUUUCGGCGCGUAAAGCCCUAUCGGCAGGGAAGAAGGAGGACGGUACCUGACUAAGAAGCCCCGGCUAACUACGUGCCAGCAGCCGCGGUAAUACGUAGGGGGCAAGCGUUAUCCGGAUUUACUGGGUGUAAAGGGGGCGCAGACGGCAGCGCAAGCCAGGAGUGAAAGCCCGGGGCCCAACCCCGGGACUGCUCUUGGAACUGCGCGGCUGGAGUGCAGGAGGGGCAGGCGGAAUUCCUGGUGUAGCGGUGAAAUGCGUAGAUAUCAGGAGGAACACCGGUGGCGAAGGCGGCCUGCUGGACUGCGACUGACGUUGAGGCCCGAAAGCGUGGGGAGCAAACAGGAUUAGAUACCCUGGUAC